rnacentral:rRNA from 1 species
UACAGAGGUCUCAAGCGUUUGUUCGGAUUCAUUGGGCGUAAAGGGUGUGUAGGUGGCGCCGUAAGUCGGGUGUGAAAUUUCGGAGCUUAACUCCGAAACUGCAUUCGAUACUGCGGUGCUUGAGGACUGGAGAGGAGACUGGAAUUCAUGGUGUAGCAGUGAAAUGCGUAGAGAUCAUGAGGAAGACCAGUGGCGAAGGCGGGUCUCUGGACAGUUCCUGACGCUGAUGCACGAAAGGUCAGGGGAGCAAACGGG